rnacentral:rRNA from 1 species
CGCGAAUUGCUCAUUACAACAGCCAUUUUUUAUUAGAUCAUCCUUCUUACUUGGAUAACUGUGGAAAAGCUAGAGCUAAUACAUGCUACAAGCUCUGACCUUACGGAAGGAGCGCAUUUAUUAGAACAAAACCAAUCGGACUUUGUCCGUCAUUUGGUGAGUCUGAAUAACUAUGCAGAUCGCACGGUCUUAGAACCGGCGACAUAUCUUUCAAAUGUCUGCCUUAUCAACUUUCGAUGGUAGUUUAUGCGCCUACCAUGGUUGUAACGGGUAACGAAGAAUCAGGGUUUGAUUUCGGAGAGGGAGCCUGAGAAACGGCUACCACAUCCAAGGAAGGCAGCAGGCACGCAAAUUACCCACUCCCGGCACGGGGAGGUAGUGACGAAACAUAACGAGGCGAUUCUCUACGAGACUCGCCAUCGGAAUGGGUACAAUCUAAAUCCUUUAACGAGGAUCUAUUGGAGGGCAAGUCUGGUGCCAGCAGCCGCGGUAAUUCCAGCUCCAAUAGCGUAUAUUAACGUUGUUGCGUUUAAAAAGCUCGUAGUUGGAUCUGCGACCUAGGAUAGCGGUCUGCCAAACGGUGUGUACUGCUCUUUCUGGUCUUGUUAUCCGGUUUUCCCUUGAUGCUCUUUGUUGAGUGUCCUGGGUGGCUGGAGGGUUUACUUUGAAAAAAUUAGAGUGCUCAAAGCAGGCGGUCUGCCUGAAUAAUGGUGCAUGGAAUAAUGGAAUAGGACCUCGGUUCUAUUUUGUUGGUUUUCGGAGCACGAGGUAAUGAUUAAAAGGGACAGACGGGGGCAUUCGUAUUGUGGCGC